rnacentral:rRNA from 1 species
AACGUGGAUCCGUAAUCCGGGUUGCGGACAGUGUCUGGUGGGUAGUUUGACUGGGGCGGUCUCCUCCUAAAGAGUAACGGAGGAGCACGAAGGUUGGCUAAUCCUGGUCGGACAUCAGGAGGUUAGUGCAAUGGCAUAAGCCAGCUUGACUGCGAGCGUGACGGCGCGAGCAGGUGCGAAAGCAGGUCAUAGUGAUCCGGUGGUUCUGAAUGGAAGGGCCAUCGCUCAACGGAUAAAAGGUACUCCGGGGAUAACAGGCUGAUACCGCCCAAGAGUUCAUAUCGACGGCGGUGUUUGGCACCUCGAUGUCGGCUCAUCACAUCCUGGGGCUGAAGUAGGUCCCAAGGGUAUGGCUGUUCGCCAUUUAAAGUGGUACGCGAGCUGGGUUUAGAACGUCGUGAGACAGUUCGGUCCCUAUCUGCCGUGGGCGCUGGAGAACUGAGGGGGGCUGCUCCUAGUACGAGAGGACCGGAGUGGACGCAUCACUGGUGUUCGGGUUGUCAUGCCAAUGGCACUGCCCGGUAGCUAAAUGCGGAAGAGAUAAGUGCUGAAAGCAUCUAAGCACGAAACUUGCCCCGAGAUGAGUUCUCCCUGAGACUUAGAGUCUCCUGAAGGAACGUUGAAGACGACGACGUUGAUAGGCCGGGUGUGUAAGCGCAGCGAUGCGUUGAGCUAACCGGUACUAAUGAACCGUGAGGCUUAACCUUACAACGCCGAAG